rnacentral:rRNA from 1 species
GACGAACGCUGGCGGCGUGCUUAACACAUGCAAGUCGAACGGAAAGGCCCUGCUUUCAGGGUACUCUAGUGGCGAACGGGUGAGUAACACGUGGGUGAUCUGCCCUCCACUUCGGGAUAAGCCUUGGAAACUGUGUCUAAUACCGGAUAUGAGCCAUUUUUAUUGUGAUUGUUGGAUAGUUUUUUCGGUGUAGGAUGAGCUCGCGGCCUAUCAACUUGUUUGUUGGGUAAUGGCCUACCUACGCGGCGACGGGUAGGCGGCCUGGGAGGGUGGACGGCCACAAUGGGGCUGAGAUACGGCCCAGAAUCCUACGGGGGGGAGGAGGGGGGAAUAAUGGACAAUGGGGGGAAGCCCGGUGCCACGAAGGCGGGGGGGGGAAGAAGGGCCUCGGGGUGUAAACUCCUUUCGGUAGGGAAGAAGCUGUGAGUGACGGUACCGAGAAAAGAAGCACCGGCUAACUACGUG